UUGCCUUCCUAAAACACAGAGCUGGUGAGGCCGCUCUUCUGCAGUAAACCUGCCACUGCCUGCUCCCAAUUCCUAGAGGCAGGAUUGAUAUUUUGCUGGUUUGCACCAGUUAGGUUGAACUGGCUGUUUACAAUCGUAUCUGUUCUGAUUGGCUGGGGCUCAUGUGCUGUGGGGUGAAUUUCAGAUUACUUAGCAGUGUUUUGGGGGGAUUAGAAGAUUUCUGAAUGAAUAUUUGGCUGCCUUAAUUUCCCACCAUUCUGUAACUAUUUCAGAUAACCCUACUAUUUGGGCACGUUCCAUAAUGAUGCUUCGACUUUCUGCUUCUGUUUUGGACAUUUUCCGCUUUUUCCUUAAUAUGUUUAUCCUCUAGUCUAAUUAAUGAUUUUAAGAUUAUUCCUGAAGAUUUAAUUUAGGAGAAAAUUCCUUGUUGAAACCUUUCCUGAUUACUCACCACCGAGUACUUUACUCGGUUACCUCCUCAUAUGCUUUCCUGAUACCUGCCAUACUUAAAAUAUCACAUUUAUUACUUUGCCCUAUAAUUAUUGCUUGCGAAUCUACCACCCCUUCUGGACUAUGGGCCGAUCACAAUGCUUACCACAGGUAGGCACUAAAGAAAUAUUUAAGUGUAUGGAAAGAAGUUAGAUUUUUGAGUCAGGAAAACCUGAGUUCAUAUUCCAGGUCAGCUCUUAUACUUACUAGAAGUAUGAGAGUGAACAAAUUAAUUUUGCCUAGUCUGAGUUAACUACUAAUUUGUAUAUGCAAUGAUAAUAGAUGUGAGCUGAAUAUUAAGCAAAAUAAUAUGUACCACGUUUACUAUAUUACCUAGGAUUUAACUGUCCAAUAAACAUUCCAUUCUCCUAGUUAAAUUUGGUUUAAAAGUAUUUUGCAUUUCCUUUUUUCUUUAUAACAAGAAAGCAGCUUUUAUCUGAAAACAUCUCUAUUCUAGUGGUCUGUGAUAAAACUGGAUGAUACAUUCUACUGGAUGAUACACAUUUCUACUAGCAUUUUCUGGUGUGAGAGCUUUUUAAAAAGAGGGCUUCUUUACUCUUCAAAAGAAGCCCAGUAACUAGUACAAUGCCAGGCACAAAAUAUUUGUGAAUUAAGUGUUUGUGGUAAGGAGCUGUGUUGGGAAAGACAGACCAUUUUCCCUUCCUUGUUCUGGGGAGAAGGUUGCUUCAUUCCUGCUGGAGCAACAGAUGUGCCAAAAUCAAGGGAAGAGAGGACUAAAGUGGAUGGGGCCUCCCUCCAUAACUUUCCUCGAGGACAGUCUAAGAGGGCAGCCUCUGUGAAGGGGGCUGCAAGGACUAACACAGUUUAGGACAUCAAAUAAAUGGGUGAGGAAAUGAAAGGUGUUUCUCUUUAAAGACGUAAAGUAGAAAUAUUAGGAAUUACCCUCUGAACUAAUUCGUCAUGUCAUAGGGAUUAAGGCAAAAUGAGUUGUCUUUUUACCAAAAACAAUGAAGUCUCUUAUAAAUUGCUUCUCUAGAUAAUUAUUUUGUGUCAGGGAAAAGGGCAUCAAGUUGUAUACGGGUGGUUUUCAUAUUUGAAAAAAGCUUCUUUUGGAAGUAAUCUAUAGUAACACUUUUUAUAUUAGGCCAUUCUCAAGCAACUUUCUACUUUAAGAAGUAAUUUGAGAAAUGUAGGAUCUCUUUUGGUUAACCCCAAUUAUGGCUAAAACCAAGUAGUUCAGAACACAAGGUCUUCACCUUAAUGCUCACCUUAAUUACUGUGGAAAGCACCAGGUUCUUUUCUUGUGUUAUCUCUUUUAAAUGUCAUAACAGUAUUAUUGUCACAGGAUCCUUGGGGUGUGGUUUUUCCGGCCAGAAACCUCUGUGGCCAGUGGUGCCUUUGCUGGAGUUUUGCUCAGGCCCUCUGGGCUCAUUCCACCCACGUGGCCUGGCAGGCUGCUCUCGGCUUGCCCUACAGUCCUGGAUCCUAUGCCUGCCAAGGGUGAGCCAGGCAGGGGUGAGUGGCAAGGGGCAUGUGAAGUGAGGGGGGGGGAGCGGGUCUUGCCACUGUGGCUGGUGGCGGCAGGGUAGGCAGCUCCAGGUGCCAGCUCUGUGUAAGGCUGCAGCUGGACCAGGCAUCUUGUAAGUGGCUUCCACUUUGGGCACUGGGGAAUGCAGUGGCACCUGGAAGCUUGGAGAUUCCAGGAACCACAGAGCCCCAAAGAGGGUGUCACAACCCUGGCUUGGGGAGCCUCUAGGUCUGGGAUCCCUGAAGGGCUGCAGCUCUUCUCUCUUUCUCGUCGCCUGCAAUGUGGCAAGCCCUGCUUUUGUUACAGCUCUUUUAGUCCUGCCAUUCAGCAGGUCCCGAGUUCUUGUGUCCAUGAAGAAUGAGGUAUGUGGAUAACUGGUGGGUGAGCAAGGUUGAGAGGAGCUUCACUGAGUAACAGAACAGCUCUCAGGAGACCCGAAGUGGGUAGCUCCUUCCCACAGGCAGGUGGUCCUGGCAAGUGUCCAGCUCUCAGCGGAGGAAACCCACAGUGGGUAGCUCCUUUCCAUAGGCAGGUCAUUCCCCACAAAUCGAGCAGACCCUUGGUGGGUAGCUCCUUCCUGCAGCUGGUAGUCCCCACAUCUGUGUGAGUCUGGCUGAGUCCUGGGGUUUUUUUGUGGGUUUAGAAGGGAGGAAGUAUGUGCUGUUUGGUCCAUGGACAGCCAUGGGUGGGCCUAGAAAAAGCACUAUAAGUUCUCACUCCCAUCCCACAGACUCCACCCAGAACUGGCAGCCCAGCCCCCAGGCUUUAGGACAUUCACCACGUCAAGGUGGGGUUUUACCAGGGAUCCUCCGCUUUCCGUCCAAGAACCUGUCUGCCUCCCACCAUCAACACGCCAUCCACAGCGCCCAGGCUGUUUUUGCAGAGGGGCGCCUGCAGGGUUGCACGGAGCUGCCCUCAGCCCUACCUCAGCCUCCUUCCUGCACUUGUUGGUGCCCAAAGUCCAGAGGGGGCUGAGGCAGAGUAGGGAAGGCUGGCAUGUCACCUGCUGCCCCGAGCACACACACACCUGGCCAGACGGCACCCAGGCUUGGCCAUAACUUUGCUAUGAAAUCAGAGUGGACACUGGGAAUGGGGAAAGACAAGAGAGUGGGAGCAGGCCCUUCUGAGCCUGUGGGCGUGGGGGGGGCUUCCUGGGCCCCCAAGAGCUCAGGGACGUCCAGGUCCUGAGCUGCAGCUGGGCAGCUGCAGCUGUACCUGGGAGUGCAGGCUUCUGCCCUGCCAGCUUGGUAGGGGGCAGGGCUCCCACCUGCUCCUGGUCCUUGCUGGCUCUGUGGAGCCUGCAACCCCAGCUGUGCCUCCCUUACUGCAGCCGGUGUCUUUGCAGUGUCUGCUCUAGAUGGGCUGCACCUGCCAUCAUUUUGAAAUAUGUAUUAUCAGUCCCAUUUUACUAUGAAGAAAUGACUUUUGGAAAUUUGAAUGAGGAUCUGACUUCAGUGUUCAAAAUCUGAUUCUUUAAAAAGCUACACUAAAAAGUCAGUACUGAUCAAGAUGUUUUAUAAUUGCAUUUAUGGACUUAAAUGGCUAAAAUGACAUCAUAGAUGCUUUCAAAGAUUGUUUGGAAAUGAUACUUUCAUUGGAAUUAAAAAGGAAAAGGAUCAUACUAUUAAGAGAACAUUGAGAAUUUUUGCGGAUAGAAUCGUGAGAAAUUAGGAGGAUCAGAUCUGAUAGAAUAUAGUGACUGGAAAGGCUUCAAAGCCUUCACCGAUGUGUUUCAAAAGUGAAAGUAGAUCUAGAACUUGUUCUACUUGGUGUGAGCGGACUUUGAAACCCUUGGAAAGUUGGUUUUCUAAGUCUGUCCAAGAAUGUGAAGCAGUGUCAGUUAACAGAUCUGAUGUAUAUGUAAUAGAUAACUAUUUCAUCAGAAUUGAAAAUUUGAUCUGAUAUAUAGCCACCUUCAUCAAUUAACUUCUGUAUCACUGCUGGAAAUUCUUUUUGCAGUUUUCAUAGCUGGGCUCUCUGUUUCACCCUACAACUGAAGGCUUUGGAAAUUAUAGAGAUUUUUGAAGCUGCUAAACCAGCUAUUACUAGCACAAAAGGAGCAAAUUCUGUAGGAUUUAGCGAUUUCCAUUUAAGAUAUUUCUAUAUAAAUAGUGCUUUCUCUUUCAUUCUGAGAAAGAUUAUUCCUUUUUUUUUUUUUUUUUUGGCUAUUUGCUUUUCAGUACAUAUAUUCAACAGCUUUCUUUUUCUUCUGUUUCGUUAGGGGUUGCUCUUUCUGACUUUGCCGCACUUGCAAUUGCUCUAGCAAAUAGGAGUUUCUCUUAUUUCCAUAUAUUGUGGAGGCCCGCAACAUGAAUUUUAUUUCUGUUGCUUGGGAGAUAUCAUAUGUUCUCACCAUGUAUUCUCUCAUUUCUGGCUUCUCCUCAAUAUUUAAAAGCUUUUCUUUUAUGCAUGCUGCUUGAUGUUUUUGAACCAGUGCAAUUAGACAUAUUUGAGAUGUCGAAUGAGCGUUUUUAUAUAGAAAAGUUAUCCUUUGCAAAAUAGCAAAACAUAAUUCUGCAGAACAACAAAUGUGCUGAACUGAGGUAGGUGUUACAUGUUUGAAACGUGUGCGUGUUUGCAUUUUGCUAGGUGCAGUUUCCUGCGUUCACCUGAUGUUUCUCACAGACAAAAUCACACAUAAGCACAUGUGAAAUGUACAUUAUGUUCAAAUUGUUCUCUUACAUAUAAGUUGUGUUGGAACAAACUGGUGUUUUCCAAACAAGGUUUAUAACAGAACAGAUUGUACUUGAUAGGCUCUGUUAAUUUAAAAAAUCCUGAUCUGUAGAAGUUUUCUAUUAUUUCCUGCAUUAACCUUUUGGUAUUUUGUUCUAGUUUCUGAGAUAUUUCUUCAACUUUACUUCUAUUUAUUCUAGCACAUUUUCACUUAUGCUCUCAUAUCAAUUUUUCAGUUCCCAAGAGCUCUUUCUGGUGUUCUUUCAGAAUGUUGUUGUCCUCCUCCCCCUCCUCCUAUUUUGUCCGUGUAAUCUUUCAGGAUUUUACAAGUUUCUUUAAUUCCCUACACUGUCUCUGUUUCCUCCAGGUUCCUUUUAACUAGGUGUUGAUUAUACUAGAGAAUUGUUAGCCACUGCUCAGUUAUUUUGUUGAGUAAGAUUGAGUCUGUCUGAUACAGACUCUUACAUUUGCACCUUGCCCUUUCUGAGUAUUGAGUCCUUCACUACAUAUCAGUGGUCUCUGGACUUUAUUUAUGGCUUGCUUAGGUUUCAACUUGAUGAAUUGCCUUCUUUUUUCCAGCUUUGAAAAACUAUUGAAAUGGACAUCUCUCUUAUAUUUACUGUAUCCUUAUGUGUUUAAAGCUGGAUUCUCAUCUCUUUAGUGGUGUGUAGGUAGAAAUACAGAUAAACGAGUGUGUUCAGUCCAUGAUAUUUAGUCAGAGAAGUAGCUUUAAAUGGCUCUGUAAUAAAUUCCCUAUGAGAUUAAUUCUCAUGGCUUCUUGAAACUAUCCAAAGCAAGACUCAGAAGAGAGCUAUUAUUGCAUAUCUAGUGCUUAAAUUUUGUAAGCAAAUGAUUCUACAGAAGGACCUGACUCAUUUGUACCUCCAGACAGGAAAAGUUUUUAUUGAAAAGUGAAAAGCAUCCCAAAAUAAUCCUUGAAGAAAAUAGUUUAGAAUAUAAAGUGACAUGUAAUACAUAUUGCUAUUAAGUGCAGAAUAGUGUUUCUAGAAUGUGCUGUGUACCAUGAUGAUGGUCUCAGUAAGCAUGCUUCUUUAAAGAAAAGAGGAGUCUUUCAGAAUACCAAGAUAGAAAAAGUGAGAAAGAUCUCUUGUGUCAUAUAUUGGUUGCUGCGCGGUCCUAUGAUGCAUCAUGCUGUCUUGACUUUGUUGGGACUCUUGAAUACAGCAUUUCCUCUUGCUGUUCUCUCUGCUGGAAAAAUUCUUCCAUGACUAAUCCCAUUAUCUCUUUCAGGUCUUUACUUAAAACUUAGAUUCUCAGGGAGUCAUUCCUUGAAGGCUAGCUAAAAUUUUAUCCUCUCUGAUCUUUUAUAUCGCUGCUUCUAUUGUUUAAUUUGUUUCCUGGGUACUUGUACUUAUCUCACGUACUAUAUAUAUAUACUUAUUUGUCUUGUUUACUUUUUCAACCCCACUUGAAUGUAAGUUUCAGGAAGACAGAGACUGUUGUCCAUUUUCUUCAUACUGAAUCCCCAGUGCCUAGAACAGUGCCUGACACAAAGUGAAUGUUCAAUAUAUAUUUGUUGAAUUUUCAUUACUUUUAAAAAACAAUUUCCAGUGAUAACCAGUCCUACAAGGGACUGAAAAUUACUAAAACAUGAUGGCAUCUGUUAUGUUAGAAGUGCAGAAAUAUUUUUUGCUUUUCAUAGUGGUGAUGAAUAUGACCUUACCAAGUCAUGUAACUCCUUCAUGCCUUGGUUUCCUCCUCUAUAUAAAUGGAAAUAAUAAUGGUACCUAGAUGAGGUGGUUAUUGAAAGCGUUAAAUGAGCUAAUAUACAUAACAUGUAGAAUAGGGAUUGACGUAAGUCUAAUCAAAUAUUUUCUGUUAUUACAAUAAUUAUUGUUGGAUACUUUCUACAUGGGACACAUUUGUAGAUAAAAUGGAAAAACAAAACAAAACUGCCCUUUUCUAGUGUGUUUUAGUGGAGGAAGGAAGCCAAUAAGCAUAUUGACAAAGUAAAUGGGAAUGAUUACAGGCUAGAGAAGAACUGCCCCUAGUAUGUGGGUAGAGGAUGAGGAGGAGCAUAAAGGUUUCAGUGGUGUUGAUAAGGUUCUUAGUUUAGUGGUGGGUUUGUGGGUGUUUGUUCUAUUAUUCUUCCUAACUUACAUAUAUGUUGUUACAUAUGUUUACGUAAUUUAGAUACUUCAUUUAAAAAAAUACUUUCUGUUCCAAGUACACUUCAGUGUUUAAACAGGUUAAUCACUAAUUUAAUUUAGUUAUCCUGAUUAGGUAAGAACUUGGCUUUAAAGAAAAUCUCUUCGUGUAACGUAACCGGUCUUCCCCUGCUGUCCCCUCUCCCAGUCCAAUUUAUUAAAGACAAAGUUGUUUUAUAAUUAACUCUAUUUUUACUCACAAUAUGUAUUUGAAGUAUUCAGUUUUAUGUAUUUGUGCAGAAUUAUCCUAACUUGGGUUAAGUAAUAGGUGAUGGAACUUAUGCUUUGUCGCUAACACCAUUUUAAUGACCUUUGCAAAACAUCUUGUUUUAUUCAACAUAACGCAACUGAAUUUUUAAAUAUAUGUAGUAUUUAAUUUGGGUCAUGGAAAAAGGAAUUCAUUCCCUCUACACCACUCUAAAUUAAUCAUUUAUGUUUUAAUUUCACCUUCAAACCAAUGCGAAAUCAUUAAGUAGAAGUGAAGCAUCUUCAGUUAAGAGCAUUUUUUUAUUAGAAACACAAAUAUGUUAAAUCUGUAUAUUUUAUACAGAUACAGAUUUUAUAAAUCUGCAUAUUUUAGGUAUAAAUUGUCUGAAGGUGUCUAGCCAUGAUGACUAGAAAUAACAUUUACUAUUUUAAGGAUAGGUGUCCGUUUUGAAUUGCAUAUUUCUGGAGUGUCUAGAAAUAGCCCACUCUUUGGUUCUGCUAGAUUAUUGAGUCAUGCAUGCCCUGUAGCAAACCAACUGACUUGAGUUUGGAUCUUGGCUCUGCCAUUUGUUAAACAUUACGUCUCCUUGGGUAAGUUGUCUGACCACUCUGAGAUUUAUAUGUUAAUGCAAAUAAGCUUUAUUGCAUCAAGUAAUAAAUACAUACAAAGAUUUAAACAGUUUUAGUCAUUUUCUUCUAGUUUUGAUCAGCUUACAGUAAACGCAGAACUGAAAUCUACUGAUAGUCUUAAUUUGAAAAUUUUGGGGGUUCCUUGUUAGGUUUGGUAGAUUGUACUGCUGUAUUUAUAACUCGUACAUUAAAAAAAUUGACUUCAGUACACUAAUAGUCAUGCAUAUGUUUAUGCAAAAAAGAAGUUAGAUUAAGCAGAAUCUACACUGCUGGGCAAAUGAGGAUUGGCUACUAACUACAGUGAGCUGUCGGUAUGCAUUAAAACAAAAUCCUUAAGGUUGUAUUAACAAAGAACAAUGUGGGUCUCGUAAACAUAUUCAGAAGAGAAAGUUAAAGGGAGACACUGGUGUCUUGGAGGCAAACUACAGUUUGCUAAGAUAAUUUUACCUGCCUCUUUUAAAUCAAUGCUUAAAAAAAAAACCCGAGUAGUUACUAACUACUGAAAAUGUACAUUCUAAUUAACUGCAAAAUCUUUUUUUCAAUCUGUGAGACUGUAGGUUCAGAGCCUGGUGAAACAUGAGAGGAAAAACCAACUUGUUAGCAUUUUGAAAACAAGAGUUUCAUUGGAACAGGGGAAGUGAGCUGUAACUUCUCAUCUUAUAAAAAGACGGAAAACCUUUAAAGCCAAAAGCACCAAGGAUAUGGCAUUCUGUUUGGUUUCAGCCAAGCACUUACGUUACCAACCUUCUAGAGUGAAUAAUGCCUCGAAUUAGUGUCUUCAUUGUGUUCUUACUCCACAUAGGCAGGUUUGAUCUCUCCCCAACUCUCACCGGGGUCCCUGGCUGUUCCCAGCUCCGGUAUGGCCUAUGGGUGGUGGCCCCUGAUCACUCAACAGCCGUCAGUACUGUGGGGGCAUCACCAGGCUGUUGGAAGGGAUGUAGACGCUCCUAGAGUGCAGUCAGGUUGCUUUGUAAGACAUACUUAUCCCUCCCCAUGAGUAAGUAGCCCAGCCAGGCCAUGAGGACGGUGGUGAUGUGGGGCCCUGUGACGGGGCAAAGGCCCUGGGCUCCCUGUGGUCAGGCUCUGGGGAAACCGGCAAAUGUGACCGCCCUCACCCUAGUGCCCACUGUAGGGUGUCACCCCACACAUCUCGGAGAGGGCAGGCACAGAGGAGGCUGCAAACUUCAGGUAGACUUUUUAACUUUAAAAUGAAGAAAAGAAUGGUACCUACUGCCUCAGAGUAGUAAGGAUUCAAUGGGUAUGAGUGUACAGUUUUGUUUUUCUAGUAGUUGCCACCAACUCUGCCCUCCUUUUUGCUAUACAGCGGGGUUGCUUUACAACAUCUCACUUUAGUUCCACGACUUACUUCUGGAUACUUAACCUUAUUUGGGUUCUUAAGACUUAGUUCUGUUAUUUGGUAGCUUUAUAUCACGUUUUGUUCAACAUUCUCCUCUUCUGUCAAGUCAGACUAAGCUUGUAUCUCUAGCUGUUUGGAAUUGACAUGGGAGGACCUGGUCUGUUUCUGUCUAUAUCUGUCCCCUGCUUGCUUUCCUGACUCAACAAGUCCUUGAUGUGGAGCUGGGAGCCUCCGCACGAGUGGGAAAGGACAGAGAUGUCCUUGAUAGGCAGCCUCUCCUUGGUCAGCCAUGGCGGAUGUCGUAUUUGUGAUUGGUGUGAUAGACAUGGGCAUGUGGUGGCCCCUCAGGUAAGGGCCUGUGCGCCCUGUAGCUCACUGGGGUCUCCUCAGCCUCUUCCACAAUACAGCCUAAUCUCACAGUUGACCCUCAGCUGGUGGCUUCAUGCUGCAUUCUUCUGGAUCCCCUCCAGAGCCAUUUGCUUACAGUCUCAGUUCACUGGGGAGAAUAUGCAUGUCGUGUUUGUUUUUAUUUCUCCUAAUAACUGCUAUUAAUUGUGCUCAAUUGACUAACCCUUUCACUCUGGUAGCAGGCUUCCUUACUAGCAUGUCAACCCAUUUCCAUCACUUUCCAGUUAAUUUUGGUCAUUUAAACAUUUGCUUACCAUUUUUUAAACACUCAGUUCUCUGCAUUUUGAAAUUUGACUCUCAUGUCAGAAUCAAAGCUCUCUUCUCUGCCCACUCUUUCCCUGAAAAGGAAAAAAAAAGAACCCAGUCUGGUUAUGGCACCUUGGAGUGGAGGCUGUUUUUGGCUCUCACAUGCAUCCCUCCCUCUUGGCACUAGCACUGUGCUAUAGCACGGAGGUGGGAAGGAGGAACCAAGGGACAGAGUCUCUGUGUCGACUGCUGCAGUGUCCCGCUUCUGUCAUGGUUGCAGCUGCCGUCUGUCUACCUCUGUCUAAUGGACUGUCUGUUGGCUCAUUCUGUGAGGCUGCCAUCCCACAUGGGCUUUCUCAAAGGACACAUUUGCUGGCUCUUUGGAGAACCCGUAGGGUGCUUGGCGUUGGAGAGCCGAUCUGAUCUCUUCAUUUCCCCGCUCCCUCCACAGUUAAAUCACCUUCAUUGUCUUGGUCUCCUCAUCUGGUAGAGGCUACUCUCCCAUCCAAGGUCCUUGCAAAUGCCUCAAGCCUAGCCACCUUCUGCAGUGUCCACUAGACUCACAGAAAACUCAGGUGUCUUUGCUGUGCCGAAUGGCUGCCCCAAUGCCUGUGACCGCCCAGCUCCACUAUCUCUUUCCUAUACAGAUUCCUGAGAUAAUCUCAUCCACUCCCAAGUAGAUUUACUGCUGCCUAACAACUUCCCAGGAUUUUCUUAUGCCCGACUCUCCUGAGUUCCAAAACCGUAUUUCCCACUGCCUGGUAAGUCCUAUCAAUGUCAUAUCCCAGAACCAGUUUACUCCCCUCAGCUUACAGCGUUAUUCUGGUUAAUGGCAUCACCUUCCACCAUUCACAUAAUCUAGAAACCAGUGAGUCAUCCUGCGUUCCUCACCUCACACAAGCCAGUUCUGUCAGUUCUAUGUCCUAAUUGUCUUUAAAUCCAUCCCACUUUUCUCUCUGUCUCCCCUUUGCUCCUGAGUUUCGGCUCUCAUUAUUUCCUUCCUUUUAGCCCCAGUUACACCUCCUGUAGUCUUGUACACUGUGAUCAGAGUGACCUUGUUAAAACACAAAUCCCAUUGCAUCAUUUGCCUGCUUUAAACUCAUGUGUGUGGACCCCCGUUGUCCUCAGACUAAAGUCCAUUCUCCAUCAUAUGGCCCUUGAGGCUCCAGCCUGUCGUAACCUUUUUUCCUUCUACUGCCUCCCUCUAUACCGCCCACUGCGAAACCCCAACUUCCUAUUCCGUAGCCACACUCAACUACUGAGAGGUGUCCAAACUCAGCACGCCGCUUCAUGAGCCUGGCUUUUGCCUGGUCCUUACUUUUGCAGGGAGUGUUCUCAUUCUCUUUGUGCCCUGUAGUCUAACUGGAGAACUCCUAUUUGUUUUUCAACAUCCAGGGGAUAAGUCUUCUGCUCUCAGAAACAUCCCCAGGCUGCUAUCUGCUAGCCAUCAUUUUUUAUAUACACUCAAAUUAUACCAAAUAUGUCUUUCUUCCCUUGCCCCUUGCAACUGCCCCCAAGUCACUAAAAGCAAAGAUUGUGUCUUGCUCAUCUUGAUAACUAUGGUGCCAAGCCUAACGUUCCUGGCCCUUCAUGUGUGCUCAUUGUUAAAUAAAUGCGAGUAAAUCAAUAAAGAAAUGUCUCAAAGGCUAAUGUAUAGAAAAUUUGUAAAAUUCUAGUUUAUAUCUUUCUAGCUAAGAUGUAUUAUAUUGACCAUUUCUUUUACAGUAGUUGGCAGCAGAUUUAAAUGCUAAAAAGUGACCCUCAUUAUCACUGUAAAUUUUUAUUUCUUACCUUAUUGUCCCCACUCAGCACUUUAUUAUUUUCAUUAUAUUGGCUUCUUACCUUUACUCGUGGAUAAAGGAGAAUGUGGCAAUGUCAGAAUCACACUAACGAGAUGAUAUGGAAGGAGAUCCAAGGUCAUGACCACUAGGAGUAAAAAUCCUUGGGGUAUAUUGAGACAGCACAGAAGUUCUUAAAGUGAUGUGUUGCUAAAGCCAUUUCUCCUGUUCCUGGCCACAAGCCUCAGGAACACAGCCUGCCUGCCUUCUUUACAAGUGAUCGUCAUUUUCUUGGAUCCACUUGGACUUUCUGUAACUGUUCUUCUCGCAGCUCUUGAGCGCUUUGCAAGGUUCUGCCAGGGCUAAUGAAAACACAAUUUGAGAAUCUUCCUUAGGCACAUUCACUAAGUAAUGUGUCUGUCAGCAGGUGUGGCUCUGUGUCUGUAGUGAGCCCCCUUCUCUGCCGGGACCUUGUCCCAGUGCCUGGAGAGCACCUUCUCAAACCGUAGACCUCACUGGCACUGGGACUGAUCUGAGUGCCCCUGUCAGCCUGCCCAGCCUCAGAAAGGAAGCUGUGGAGAGCCGGUUCUCACCAAGAGCUCACCAUGUCUACUCUAGACUAGGCCCAGAAACCCUGCAUCCAGGCUGCCUGACUCAUAUGCAGCAUGGGUCCCUGGCUUUGGUUUCCACAGUCUCCCAGCUGGUUUCUUAAUCUGUAAAAUGGGUGGCUUUCGAUGAAGACUGUGGCUCCACUGAGAUCAACAGAAGGGCAUUUCACUAUAUGGUCCCUUUACUCUUCCAGCUCUGACAUCUCAUACACAAGUACGAGUGCGCGCGCAUGCACACGCACACACACGCGCGCACACACACACACACACACACACACACACACACACACGGAUCUAGAAUUAUUUCUGGUCUGCACUUCCAGGGUACACUAUAUUGAAUGAGCACUUGGUUCUAUGCUCCAUCCAACAUUUGAUUAGGUAAACCCCAGACAAAGCACCUAAUGCCUUUGACCCUCCAUUUCUAAACCUCCAGAAUAAGGAAAUUAAAUGGUUUUCAAGGUCCAUGUUGCUUUAAAAUUCUGAAUAGAUCAGAGGGUUAAAGAAAUCCUCAGACCCCAUUUAUGUCACAGAACUGCUGUCCAUGGAGACCAUAAUAUAGAAAUGUGUCCCUUGACAGAAACAGAGGUAUUUAUUAUAAACAUACUGUGUUCCCAGCACACAGAGUCAAUUUUGCCAAUAUGUUAGUGCUCACCUAAGCCUGCACUACAUUAGAUGUUCUGUAUCUCGGAAAUAUCCUUACAUUUAUCUUUACCUUUGUAAAUAAAACUAUGUAAUUGAGCUUCAUCUGAUUGUUUUAGGGUCACCGAGAGACUGCCUCUAAUGGCCCUAAGUGGCUCUGGAUGCAUGAGAAAAUGGCUAGACCGUUAGUCUAGUUCCUACCGGCUCUUCUUUCAGGACCACUUAUCGUUGUUUUUCUGGAAUUUAACAGGAAAAUUAGCUUAAAGUAACUAGUUAUUUUUAAAAAGAGCUCAAAGCAUCUAUUUUUCAUAGCUGUGCAAAAGCAAAAAAGAAAUAAUAUUCAUUUUUCACUUCAUGCAAGAACCUCACUUGCAUGAGGUUCUCAAAAUAGAAAAUCAUAAUCAGGACAACUUUUCACUUCUUCAGAUGUUUUAUAUAGAAUAUCAUUUGGCUUCUAAAUCUGUGAUUCCUUUUUUGUCUGUGGCUCCAGAUUUUCAUAAUCUACCACUAUUAAGCAGAAGUGGUAAUUUAUGAAAAAAUUUGGGUUUGAAAAGCUUAUUAUUUUCAUGAAGAUAAAAAGUAAAAUAAGAAUGUUAACCAUUUGAGCCCUAUUGCUUAAGGGCACUGAAGGGAGUUGAGCCCCAUCUCUCUCCCAUUGCAGUGGCUCCUCUUAAAUAAAGUCUCCCUUAACAUCUACAAAAAAAAAAAA